rnacentral:tRNA from 1 species
UGUAGAGUACGCUAAAUAAGCUUCUGGGCCCAUACCCCAAAAAUGAAGGUUAAAUCCCUUCCUUUACAA